UACGUAGGGGGCAAGCGUUAUCCGGAAUCACUGGGCGUAAAGGGUGCGUAGGCGGCCAAUAAAGUCAGGGGUGAAAGGCUACGGCUUAACCGUAGUAAGCCUUUGAAACUUAUUGGCUUGAGUGCAGGAGAGGAGAGUGGAAUUCCUAGUGUAGCGGUGAAAUGCGUAGAUAUUAGGAGGAACACCAGUGGCGAAGGCGACUCUCUGGACUGUAACUGACGCUGAGGCACGAAAGCGUGGGGAGCGAACA
rnacentral:rRNA from 1 species